AAUCAAGUGCCUUAAGGGUGUUCGGUGGAUGCCUUGGCGCUGAGAGGCGAUGAAGGACGUGCUACGCUGCGAUAAGCCGUGGGGAGCUGCGAAGAAGCUUUGAUCCAUGGAUUUCCGAAUGGGGAAACCCACCUUCGAUAGCCGGAACUCCAAGACCUCAGUCGAAAGACUGUGGUGUGGGGUUCGAACAGAAAUGUGAGAUGCCUAGGCCUUUAGAUUUCGAUCGAAGAGGUUUUGGAUUUCCGGUUAUCAAAAGAAGGUAUGAGACUUCUGAAUAAAUAGGAGGUUUCAAGCAAACCCAGGGAACUGAAACAUCUAAGUACCUGGAGGAAAGGACAUCAACAGAGACUCCGUUAGUAGUGGCGAGCGAACGCGGACCAGGCC
rnacentral:rRNA from 1 species